UUGCAGUGAUGACCAACUUAGGACACCUUUGGAUAUUAACCAUGAAAACAAACUAAUUUAUAAUCUGAGCAAU